CGGACGGGUGAGUAAUGUCUGGGAAACUGCCUGGUGGAGGGGGGUAACUACUGGAAACGGUAGCUAAUACCGCAUAACGUCGCAAGACCAAAGAGGGGGACCUUCGGGCCUCUUGCCAUCGGAUGUGCCCAGAUGGGAUUAGCUAGUAGGUGGGGUAACGGCUCACCUAGGCGACGAUCCCUAGCUGGUCUGAGAGGAUGACCAGCCACACUGGAACUGAGACACGGUCCAG
rnacentral:rRNA from 1 species